rnacentral:rRNA from 1 species
UCCACGCCCUAAACGAUGCACACUAGUUGUUGCUAUGCUAGACAUAGCAGUAAUGCAGUUAACACAGUAAGUGUGCCGCCUGGGGAGUACGGUCGCAAGAUUAAAACUCAAAGGAAUAGACGGGGACCCGCACAAGCGGUGGAGCAUGUGGUUUAAUUCGACGAUACGCGAAGAACCUUACCUGGCCUUGACAUAGAAAGAAUCUUUUAGAGAUAGAAGAGUGC